CUUAUUUAUAACACUUAUGCCACAAGACAGCUACUUCACAAUUAGUCCACCCUGCCGUCACUGGUGAUUUAAAUAAUCUACAAAAGAACCAUGAACAGGUUCUUGGUCUUUGUGGCUGCUAUAAUUCUGAUUAAGGACACAAAUGGGAAGCCUUUCAUCCCUUGG